AAAGCUUCUUUCUGACCAAUUUCAAAAAGAUCGGACCUUAAGCACCGAAGCAACGGACAUCAGAAGCACAGCGGGUGUUUUUGAGUAUGUGUGUGUGUGUGUGUGUGUGUGAAAAGAAGUGCGAAUGUAACGGAAGUUCUUGGUUGAAUUUAGGGUAUCUGCGAGUCGGGCGUGCUCGACUAGAGAUCUUUUGUAUUUUGUUUUUUACAUGCGGUAAUACUUUUAUAUUCCUUGACCUCUUCUUCUUUUUGUUCUUCUCGUUCUCGUUCCUUUUUCCUUUUUCUUCUUCUUUUCUCUUUUUCUUUCUCCCUUUUCUUUCAUUUUUCCCUUUUUGUUUUUGUUUUUGGCAUUUAUUUCUUGUGAUAGCUGCCACCCGCUUUUGCGCUUUGCGUGCCGAGAAAUGCGCGGAAUGCAAAGGAGGCCCGUUUGUAUUGCUGCCACUGCCACUGCCACUGAUGCUGCUGCUACCACUGCCGCUGCUGCUUUUUCUUCUUCUUCUUCUUCUUUAUCGCCGUCCAUAGAUACGGCCGGACAUACUUGAAAUUUUUAUCGGCGCUCGUUUUGUGGCACCUUCGCUGUGCGGAAAAGAAGGUGAAGGGUCUGACAAACGAAAUUGAAAACUGCAAUUGACACUGAAACUGGAUAUGAAUAUCUAAUUGCCUCAAAUUCUGCCGUCAAUCAACUUUGGUGUAGGGGCUGACGCCAUAACAGUCUCUCAUGAUCCAGCAGCUGAAUGGGACUGAGCAAUGCUUUGUUAACUCCGGAAUGUAUGACUGAUGGAAGACAAAUGAAUGAUUGAAGAAUGACUGGAUAUCAAAUGGAUGCUACAGGUUUGAUGUACGUCUGAUGUGAUGUAAGUCUGAAGGAUUUUCGAUAUAUGCUUGAUAGAGGUGCCCGAUGUACGGCUACUACAAGUCAAAUGGAUGCCCGAUGGGAAUAUGAUUUGUAAUGAAUGCCCGUCGAAUAUACGCCUGAUGCAAGCCUAAUGAAUGAAUGAUGUAAGCAUUAUAUGUGUACGAUGUAAUCUGAAGAAUUUCUUAUGAAUGCCUGAUAAACGCAUAAUGAGUUGAGUGCCUGACAUAGGUGCGAUGUAAGUCUAAAGGAUGCCUAAUGUAGCCAUGACGGAUGCCUAAUAAAAGUAUGAUGUACGUCUGAUGCAAGUCUGAAGGAUGUGGAUGAGUGCUAUAGAAAUGCUUAAUGUAGGCAUGAUGUACGCUACAAGCAAGUCAGAAGAAUUUCAGAUUUAUGCCCGUUGGAUGUGAGAAUGAUAUUCAUGUCUGUAAAUCUUAAGAAUUUCUGACGGAUGCCCGAUAGAUGCACGAUGUAAGUCUGGAUGCCUGUUAGAUAUCUUUAUCAUCGACGCCUAAUUAAGGUCUUAAGGAUUUCUGAAUCGAUGCCAGAUUUAUCCCACAUAUGCUCAUGAAGCAUGGGCUUAAUUUUAUUUACUAUGAUUGAUGGAUGUAUUGGCUGAACGAUGUAUAUAUGUAUACAUUAUGAAUGGUGGGACGUAGUCUGACCAAUUUAUGUAUACCUCAUUGAUACGGGAAAGAGAUGUAUAACAAAUAAAUGGGGCUUAAAGCGCCUGAUGUCCAGUGCAUGUGUCGUGUAUGCUAGAUGAUGAAUGGAUAGACCUCUUGUAUUUCUUGACAUGUAAUUCGAUUGUAUUGAUGAAUGCCUGGCUGAUGUCUUAUAAGUUCCAGUUAAAUGUCAAGUGUAUAAGCUGUACAACUGAAAUGGUUGCCUCGGCAAUGAAUUUGAUGUACGCCCGAUAUAUGCCUCUUGGAAAAGCUGACGUAUGUUUGCCGUGUCUCGAAUCAGUUCAUAAUUGCGACUUAUUGAGUUUGCAUACCGUAAAAAAGAAAAACUGGAUUGGACAUCGCCUUUGUGCACCUCAAAUAUGGAAAAGUUUUAAUAAAUGAUAAAAACAAUUUAUUUGCUAGUUAAACUGCAGCUGGCUUGUGGAUUUACAUGCACUGCAGAAUGAGUGCGAGACCAUGGAACCAUGGACUUUUCUUCUUCUCUUCCAUUUUCCCCCCUGUGGAUUGAAUUGGUAAGCGGACCAAUGGUCACUUCUCGCGCAGCUCUCUGAUUGUGUCUGAUUGCGUCAAGGCCAUAAAGUAUGCAGCACAACGUUCAUUGAAUCCGAAAACCCGUAUUGGAAUCGACAUGCGCAAGGGUAAUCGAAAUCCAAAUCCAAAUCCGCAACCCACGUAUAAUCAUCAUAAUGGCAAAUUAUAUAUAAUAAUAAAAUAUUUCGUGUUCAAACUACCAAA